CGGGUUUACUCCUGGUUUCUACCGUUUCAUCUGGCCUGGGCCGGAUGUCGUUUUGGUGUCUGAUUCGAUCACGAAUCGGGAGCACCAUCUGCGUGGGCUGGUGUUUUAAGGCUUGCGCCGCCUACGGUCUUGGAUAGCCCCCGCCAGGCAGGGACCCCAAUCUUUUGCUGCCGCCACGAACAGGUCGCGGCG
rnacentral:sRNA from 1 species